rnacentral:rRNA from 1 species
UACGUAUGGGGCGAGCGUUGUUCGGAUUUAUUGGGCGUAAAGGGCGUGUAGGCGGUUUCGUAAGCUUGGUGUGAAAUAUUCUGGCUUAACCAGAAAAACGCACUGGGAACUGCGAGACUAGAGUUUAGGAGGGGAAGCUGGAAUUCCAGGUGUAGGGGUGAAAUCUGUAGAUAUCUGGAAGAACACCAAAGGCGAAGGCAAGCUUCUGGACAUAGACUGACGCUGAGGCGCGAAAGCGUGGGGAGCAAACAGG